CCUACGGGAGGCAGCAGUGAGGAAUAUUGGUCAAUGGACGCAAGUCUGAACCAGCCAUGCCGCGUGCAGGAAGACGGCUCUAUGAGUUGUAAACUGCUUUUGUACGAGGGUAAACGCAGAUACGCGUAUCUGUCUGAAAGUAUCGUACGCAUAAGGAUCGGCUAACUCCGUGCCAGCAGCCGCGGGAAUACGGAGGAUUCAAGCGUUAUCCGGAUUUAUUGGGUUUAAAGGGUGCGUAGGCGGUCGGAUAAGUUAGAGGUGAAAUCCCGAGGCUCAACUUCGGAAUUGCCUCUGAUACUGGUAGGCUAGAGAGUAGGUGCGGUAUGCGGAAUGUGUGGUGUAGCGGUGAAAUGCUUAGAGAUCAUGAAGAACACCGAUUGCGAAGGCAGCUGACCAAGCUACGUCUGACGUUGAGGCUCGAAAGCGUGGGGAGCAAACAGGAUUAGAUACCCCUGUAGUC
rnacentral:rRNA from 1 species